AACCUGGUCCAAAACCAUUCCUGGCAAGGUUGAAUUCUUCUCCAGCGAGGGUUCGGACACCUCUAUUCCCAUCCCCAUCGUGCCGCUUCCAGGUGUAGAUGACUCUUACCCACCCCAGAAGAAAUCUUUCAUGAUGCUCAAAUAUAUGCAUGACCACUACUUGGACAAAUACGAAUGGUUUAUGAGAGCUGAUGAUGAUGUUUACAUCAAAGGGGACAAACUGGAGAACUUCCUCAGGAGUUUGAACAGCAGCGAGCCCCUCUUUCUUGGGCAGACUGGCCUUGGCACCACGGAGGAGAUGGGGAAACUGGCGCUGGAACCGGGCGAGAACUUCUGCAUGGGGGGACCAGGAGUGAUCAUGAGCCGGGAAGUCCUGCGUAGAAUGGUGCCACACAUUGGCGAGUGCCUGAGAGAGAUGUACACCACCCACGAGGACGUGGAAGUGGGAAGAUGUGUGCGGAGGUUUGCGGGAGUGCAGUGUGUGUGGUCCUAUGAG